rnacentral:rRNA from 1 species
UACGGGGGGGGCAAGCGUUGUUCGGAAUUAUUGGGCGUAAAGGGCGCGUAGGCGGCUUGGCAAGUGGAAGGUGAAAUCCCUCGGCUUAACCGAGGAACUGCCCUCCAAACUGCUUCGCUUGAGACCGGGAGAGGUGAGUGGAAUUCCCAGUGUAGCGGUGAAAUGCGUAGAUAUUGGGAGGAACACCAGUGGCGAAGGCGGCUCACUGGACCGGUACUGACGCUGAUGCGCGAAAGCGUGGGGAGCAAACGGG